rnacentral:rRNA from 1 species
UACGGGGGGGGCAAGCGUUGUUCGGAAUUACUGGGCGUAAAGGGCUCGUAGGCGGCCAACUAAGUCGGACGUGAAAUCCCCAGGCUCAACCUGGGAACUGCGUCCGAUACUGGAUGGCUUGAAUCCGGGAGAGGGAUGCAGAAUUCCAGGUGUAGCGGUGAAAUGCGUAGAUAUCUGGAGGAAUACCGGUGGCGAAGGCGGCAUCCUGGACCGGCAUUGACGCUGAAGAGCGAAAGCCAGGGGAGCAAACAGG